rnacentral:rRNA from 1 species
CCUACGGGAGGCAGCAGUGAGGAAUAUUGGUCAAUGGUCGGGAGACUGAACCAGCCAAGCCGCGUGAGGGAUGAAGGUACAGAGUAUCGUAAACCUCUUUUGUCAGGGAACAAAGGCGGGGACGUGUCCCCGGAUGAGUGUAACUGAAGAAAUAGCAUCGGCUAACUCCGUGCCAGCAGCCGCGGUAAUACGGACGAUGCGAGCGUUAUCAGGAUGUAUUGGGUUGAAGGGGUGCGCAGGCGGCCUGUUAAGUCCGCGGUCAAAGCGCGGGGCUAAACCCCGGCCCGCCGUUGAAACUGGCAGUCUCGAGUUGGAGAGAAGUAUGCGGAAUGCGCGGUGUAGCGGUGAAAUGCAUAG